rnacentral:rRNA from 1 species
UGGGGAAUCUUGGACAAUGGGGGAAACCCUGAUCCAGCCAUGCCGCGUGAGUGAUGAAGGCCUUAGGGUCGUAAAGCUCUUUCACCGGUGAAGAUAAUGACGGUAGCCGGAGAAGAAGCCCCGGCUAACUCCGUGCCAGCAGCCGCGGUAAUACGGAGGGGGCUAGCGUUGUUCGGAAUUACUGGGCGUAAAGCGCGCGUAGGCGGGCUGUUAAGUCGAGGGUGAAAUCCCGGGGCUCAACCCCGGAACUGCCUCCGAUACUGGCAGCCUAGAGGUCGGAAGAGGUCAGUGGAAUGGCGAGUGUAGAGGUGAAAUUCGUAGAUAUUCGCCGGAACACCAGUGGCGAAGGCGACUGACUGGCUCGAUACUGACGCUGAGGUGCGAAAGCGUGGGGAGCA